rnacentral:rRNA from 1 species
GAUGAACGCUGGCGGCGUGCCUAAUACAUGCAAGUCGAGCGAACAGACGAGGAGCUUGCUCCUCUGACGUUAGCGGCGGACGGGUGAGUAACACGUGGAUAACCUACCUAUAAGACUGGGAUAACUUCGGGAAACCGGAGCUAAUACCGGAUAAUAUAUUGAACCGCAUGGUUCAAUAGUGAAAGACGGUGUUGCUGUCACUUAUAGAUGGAUCCGUGCCGCAUUAGCUAGUUGGUAAGGUAACGGCUUACCAAGGCGACGAUGCGUAGCCGACCUGAGAGGGUGAUCGGCCACACUGGAACUGAGACACGGUCCAGACUCCUGAGGGAGGCAGCAGUAUGGAAUCUUCCGCAAUGGGCGAAAGCCUGACGGAGCAACGCCGCGUGAGUGAUGGAGGUCUUCGGAUCGUAAAACUCUGUUAUUAGGGAAGAACAAAUGUGUAAGUAACUAUGCACGUCUUGACGGUACCUAAUCAGAAAGCCACGGCUAACUACAUG